GCGGAGGGCCAGCAGUUCCAGCAGGUUGCAGGACGCUGAACGAGGACUCUGUACCAGCACUCAGCGCCAGCCACCGAGCAGCUCAAACGCACAACGUCAAGACAGACACGGCAGUCGCUCGAAGAUGUACGCCCGCACGCUGCUGGCAGUGUGCGCAGCAGCGGCUGUGGCCACCGGCUGCGCUGCGGCCCCCGCCCCCGCCGCCACCGCCGCCCCCGCC